rnacentral:rRNA from 1 species
CCUACGGGUGGCUGCAGUGGGGAAUAUUGGACAAUGGGGGAAACCCUGAUCCAGCAAUGCCGCGUGUGUGAAGAAGGCCUGCGGGUUGUAAAGCACUUUCGGUUGGGAAGAAAAGUUUGGCGCCAAUACCGCCGAACCUUGACGUUACUGACAGAAGAAGCACCGGCUAACUCUGUGCCAGCAGCCGCGGUAAUACAGCGGGUGCACGGGGUGAUCGGAAUGCGUGGGCGGUCAUCGAAGUCGGGUGGUCAAUCCCCGGGCUUAACCUGGGAACUGCAUUCGAUACUACAUGGCUAGAGUAUGGUAGAGGGAAGUGGAAUUUCCGGUGUAGCGGUGAAAUGCGUAGAUAUCGGAAGGAACACCAAUGGCGAAGGCAGCUUCCUGGACUAAUACUGACACUGAGGCACGAAAGCGUGGGUAGCAAACAGGAUUAGAUACCCCAGUAGUC